rnacentral:tRNA from 1 species
GCUUGGGUAGCUCAGUUGGUAGAGCAUCUCCCUGAAGAGGAGGGGGUCGCCGGUUCGAUCCCGGCCCCAAGCA